rnacentral:sRNA from 1 species
ACAGGAUAUGGAGCCACAUCAUCAUUUUCUGAGCAUAAAAUCAGAAAAGGGACCCCCAAAUCCUAUAGGUAAAAAAAAUAAAAAUAGAAUAAAAAGGCCAAAAUAACUAAAGUAUAGUUAAUAUAAUCUGCAAAUGUCAGUCCAAUUAACUUACAACUGAAGAACAAAGAGUUUGCCAGUACUCUACACGUUGGGAUCCAAACCUUGUGAGAAAUAAAGCAUCCAGGCUUGAAGUGACACCUUUUGCAAAAAAUGAUACUAGCUUUGCAAAACCAGGCAUCUUCAGGAUAGUGUGGUUUAAAGCCAAUUGGGCACCCAAAUCACUACUAAAGUCAACGGGAUCAGAGUCAUAUAUCUGGCCAGAGAUGCAGUGCAUAACCAAUCUAUUAUCCUCCUUCAUGUAACAAGAAAUGAGUCCAUAAAUAAAUAUGUGUGCUCUACCACGUACAAUACAUUAACAUUAAUUGAAGACAAAGAACAAAGUCUACCAGAUUGAGCUCCGCUUCACGACAUCCUCCAAUAAUCUGCAUUAGUUGUGAAAUAAAUUAUAUACAUGACGACAGUCAUGACAAACAAUGAGUAUUCUUAUCCUAUUUCACUAAAUAUAACGAAUAAUUUCUUCAACGAACAGUUAGUGACACAGUCCUCGCCAAAAUGGUGUCAGCAUCAUUUAUGUGCGAGAAAUGCCAACACACAGCUCAGUGAACGUUCAUGUGCAUCAAAAUGACCAUGGCUCCAGUGCAUUGGCUUUACCUGAAAAAACUUAUACAUACAAGCCUUUGAACCACCAGAUGAUGCUGCAAGGACUACAGGGCAUAUACUACUCCUUAGCUCCUGCAUACACAGGAAACUUGAGAAUAAUUACACCAAACAAAAAGAACAGUUAGAGAACAAUUACACCUAGAGCAUAAAGAACAGGAGAAUGAGGAGGAGGAAAUGAGGGGGAAAAAGGAGAAGAAAAGAAAAAAGACUAAUAUUUCUUUGCGUGACUUCAUUCACGUGUUCUUCAUAAUACUGGAUAUGACAUGAAAGAAACAAGACAAUAAACUAAAAGUAGUUUACUAAAUCGUUGUCCAUUAUUGCCACAUUUUUUGCAUAUAAGUUAUUGUGAUAAGACUGACCUUAACAAGCUCAUUAAGUACAGAAAAUGCCAGUGAUGUAGCCCUCUCUGGGAUGAAUCUGCAGAUAAAAGUACCCACUAACCAUGAAAUAUUUGUUCAAAGAAAUGAGCUCAUAGUGGAAUUCAAAUAAAAGAAAUAAGAAAUUCUAGAAAAAUAAGGAAUUGACUAAAGAAUGUAAGCUUCUUCGGAUAAAGUUCAGAGGAAGCUAAUUUUCAUUUUUUCCCACUACUUAGGUAGUUCUUAAGAUAAUUCCGCAAUUUCAAAUCCAUGAAAGAAUCCCCACUCAAUUUCCCUAAAAGAAUUUAGAAUAUUGACAGCUACCCGAGUGGGAAAAUCUUCACUGCCCGUGCUAAUGUCCCGUGGAAUCUAUACAGUCCCCCGGCAGAAUGAUGUCCUAGCGUGUUUUGCUUCACUUUUUCCUGAAAAUUGGCUUCUUUUUUAGCCCUUGCAACUUAGACUUGUUUAUUAGCAAUUAAGCUAAGCCAAAUAUGCUCCAGGCCUUCUCUUUUAGCAUUGCUAGGCUUCUCCGGAGUGAAAACUCAACUUCUAAAAAAUAUACUACAAAUCCCUUCAACACAACUACAUCAAAGCGAUAGGUAAAUACAUAUACACGCAUAAAACUUUAGUUAGAGUGAGAAGAACUUACGGAUUGAGAAAAUCGGAGAGGCAAACGAGCGAGUUCCAUCCAAGAGAAGAGUAGAUACUAACAAAAUUCUUCAAUUGACUUUCAGUAAUUGAGGAAAUCCACGCGAAAAUCACAACAAUUCCUUUGAUUUUCGACACUUCAGUACUACUACUAUCCUGACUUCUCACCCAAUAAAUUCUCCCUCCCACAACUCCGCUGACACCGCCAAUCAUCGUAACAGGACCUCGAAUCGAGAGCCAGAAUUUGAUAACUGGAAAUUGAAAUUCAAAAGAAAAUGGGAAAAGGAGGGGUGGACCGUUGAGUAUUGGGGAUGAGGAGUAGAGAGAGAGUUAUCGAGCUCUUCGUGGUGUUGGAUCGCAGAAGGGGAUUGUGCAUGCGCCAGCUCAGAUAAUACGAAUUUUUAGGAAAUUCAUUUGACAAAAUUACACACACAUCCCUCAAGAUUUUUUAUUAUUACAUCACAACCCCUGACAUUCAAACAAUAACACAAUGGGUCCGCGUUAGAAGGAGUAAAAAUAAUUUGCAAUCAACAAAUUUCACCUCUUUGUUAGCUAAUAAUUGUAUGGUUUCCUCAUUUC